GUAAUCAGAGAUCGUUCGGGUUCGUUGCGUACGAGCAAAUUGGGAGCUUUUUUGCGCUGUUGACGAUCGCAUUCGUUUCACAGAUUCGUUUCAUCUUCCAGCUCGACUUCGUUCGAGUCUUUUUAUGUUUUUACCAAGGAGUCCAGCCGAUCUAUCUCUCUUUCGCACAGAUUUAACAGAUUUUUAAAAGACGAUGUUCGAUCGAAAGGAUAUAUAGGACGUUUAACCUUGAAACAGCAACAACGUCGGAGAAGUUUCGGAGGGGCGCGAUGCAUCGUUGAGUUUGCUUCGCGACAUUCUUCUGGAGGCUUCUCUAUUCCACUUAAUGAAGUAUGUUAACGAAUCAACAGGUUACCUUGUAUAGCGUGGCCGUUGUGUAUAGCUCGCCUCUCUCUUUCGCCAUAGGGAUGCCUAUUAAAAGCCGUCGGCCUGCCGUUGAAACCGUUUCUUCUCGCACUCCUGCGAAACGCUUUUGCGAAGUGCGACUGGCCUCGGAUAUAAUGCGCACCUCGCGAUAAUCCCCUCGCCGCGUUGCAGAUUGGAUGAGAAGCAUCUGUAGUUAUUGUACAGCUUAUACGCGCUUUAGUAUUCUGGUAUAUCUAUGUAUAAGACCUAUUUCCUUUCCUCGUUUCGCGAGAGCAAAAUAUACGACUUCCUUGGACGUUUGCUUCCACCAUCUUUCUUUCCUUCC